rnacentral:rRNA from 1 species
CUACAAAUGAAUUGACGGGACUCGCACAAGCGGUGAUGAUGUGGAUUAAUUCGAUGCAACGCGAAAACCUUACCUACCCUUGACAUGCCUGGACCGCCGGAGAGAUCCGGCUUUCCCGUUCGGGGACUGGGACACAGGUGCUGCAUGGCUGUCGUCAGCUCGUGUCGUGAGAUGUUGGGUUAAGUCCCGCAACGAGCGCAACCCUUGUCAUUAGUUGCCACCAUUUAGUUGGGCACUCUAAUGAGACUGCCGGUGACAAACCGGAGGAAGGUGGGGAUGACGUCAAGUCCUCAUGGCCCUUAUGGUAGGGCUUCACACGUCAUACAAUGGUCGGUACAGAGGGUUGCCAAGCCGCGAGGUGGAGCCAAUCCCUUAAAGCCGAUCGUAGUCCGGAUCGUAGUCUGCAACUCGACUACGUGAAGUCGGAAUCGCUAGUAAUCGCGGAUCAGCAUGCUGCGGUGAAUACGUUCCCGGGUCUU